GCUAAACUUAUUUUUCCUAUUAAGGAUGAGAUCAUUUUUGUACGUCAUGCUGUCGGUUACUUUGUUGAGUGGCCAUCUCAUCUGAUCAUUCCAUACGAUUCAAAUUUGCUACCUAAGAAGACAAAGAAGCAAAAAAGAAAUAGUUCACCAAUACCUAAUGCCUCAAUGACACAAGACAAGUCUCAUCCUUCCCAAAGACUUCCUAGUCAAAAUGAAGUAGUGUCAAGUAAAGCUAGUGCCCCGAUACUCUUCAAGAUUCCUAGUGGGGUUCCUCACUCUCUCAAGUGUUUAUUAACUACUGUGAAGUAUGUGGAGCCAAGUUUCAUGGUCAAAGUUCC